rnacentral:rRNA from 1 species
GGACUACCGGGGUUUCUAAUCCUGUUUGCUCCCCACGCUUUCGCGUCUCAGCGUCAGUAACGUCCCAGCGAGCUGCCUUCGCAAUUGGUGUUCCUCCUGAUAUCUGCGCAUUUCACCGCUACACCAGGAAUUCCACUCGCCUCUUCCGUACUCGAGCCCGACAGUAUCCACCGGCAUCCGAGGGUUGAGCCCCCGACUUUCACAGCGGACUUACCGGGCCGCCUACACGCGCUUUACGCCCAAUGAUUCCGGACAACGCUAGCCCCCUACGUAUUACCGCGGCGGCUGGCAC